AUCCGCCAGCACGUCAGGUCAAGGUGCAGCCUAUGAAAUGGAAAGCAAUGGGCUACAAUUUCUAGUCUAGAAUAAACGAACAACCAUCUGAAACUAUGGUCAUGAAGGUGGAUUUAGUAGUAAGGGCGGAAAAUAGAGCCCCCCUUAACAGCGGCCCUGGGACGUGUACAAACCGCCCGUCACCCUCUUCAAUAGCCCCCCCCAAAAGUAAAUAACAUCACACUGGCACUUCAGAAGAGGCAAGUCGUAACACGGUAAGUGUACUGGAAAGUGUACUUGGACACAAAAUGUAGCUUAGUUAAAGCCCCCCGCUUACACCGAGAAGUCAUCUGUUAAAUCUAGAUCAUUUUGAGCCAAAAUUCUA
rnacentral:rRNA from 1 species